rnacentral:rRNA from 1 species
GACAGAGGGUGCAAACGUUGUUCGGAAUUACUGGGCGUAAAGAGUGUGUAGGCGGUGCUCUAAGUUCGGUGUGAAAUCUCCCGGCUUAACUGGGAGGUGCGCCGGAAACUGGAGUGCUCGAGUGUGGGAGAGGGAUGCGGAAUUCCAGGUGUAGCGGUGAAAUGCGUAGAUAUCUGGAGGAACACCGGUGGCGAAGGCGGCAUCCUGGACCAUUACUGACGCUGAGGAGCGAAAGCCAGGGGAGCAAACGGG